GGAAGAGCAGCAAGAGGGCAAAGGUACAGCACAAAAGGACGCAGACACCUGGAGACCAUGCACUUCUGCUGGGAAGAGUAGCUGAGUUUUUACAGCAUUCUGCCUGUCUGAAGGUCAAGGAUCACAUCUCUGCCAGGUUGAAGUUGGAGGCCGAGGAGAGAAAAACAGGCUGCGGGAAGUUGGAAGAAACACUGCAGCAGGGAACCCACAUUAGAUGAUCUGACUCCAGAGUACAAGAUCCUGACUAUGACAUUACACUGGCUCUGCAGAAAUCAAAGGCGAGGAGCUGGAACAGCAGGUAAGAUUGACCAAGAAGAAGAGACACAUAGGCAGUGUGAAACACAAAUGUUACCGUCAA